rnacentral:rRNA from 1 species
AAACAGACSAAUUAASGCUUAACGAGCGAGACCUGGGCGUGCUAACUAGGGGCCGCUACCAUUGUGUAGCUGUUCGCCCCUUCUUAGACGGACUGCGGGCGUCUAGUCCGCGGAAGCUCCAGGCAACAGGUCUGUG